AGUGGUUCUAUCCCUUAAUAAUAACUAUCACUGAAGUAGGUGUUAUUCCUGUAGAAAUGCAAGUUAUAGUCCUUGCAGAGCACACAGCUCCGGCCCUGAAUUACACCCAAGUUGCUCUCCAUUUGCUAACUAAUAAGGUUAAUCAGAUCAGGAAGGUGGUGCAGCAAAACUGUAUGGCCGCACACAUAGUUACAACUGCCCAAGGUGGCACCUGUGCCCUUGCAGGGACACAGUGUUGUACAUUUAUCCCUAACAACCACCAUAACAUAACAGCAGCCUUACAAGGGGUGUCACAGGAGAUUAAGGUGAUUGAACACCUUACCGAGGACCCCCUGCAGAGAUAGUGGGUGCCUCUGGGGCUCUGGCCUACAUUGGGCUCUAAUAAUCAUGGGUAGCACAUCAGGAAUAUUAGUGGUAGGUUGUUGCUCUCUGUGGCCUAUGGGUCCAAGGUGCUGCCCUAUGCACACAGAUCUGCACUAGAAGAACUCCCUCAGCCUAGGGGGUGGAAUGUAAGGCCUGUGGGCCAAGCCUGUUUAUCAAACUAUGUGCCCAAAACUUAUAUAUAAAGCCUGUGUGUGUAUAUC
ensembl:lncRNA novel transcript